UAUACCGUGAAACUGCGAAUGGCUCAUUAAAUCAGUUAUCGUUUAUUUGAUAGUACCUACCAACUACUUGGAUAACCGUGGUAAUUCUAGAGCUAAUACAUGCUAAAAACCCCGACUUCGGGAGGGGUGUAUUUAUUAGAUAAAAAACCAAUGCCCCUCGGGGCUUCUUGGUGAUUCAUGAUAACUUAACGGAUCGCAUGGCCUUGCGCCGGCGACGGUUCAUUCAAAUUUCUGCCCUAUCAACUUUCGAUGGUAAGGUAUUGGCUUACCAUGGUUUCAACGGGUAACGGGGAAUUAGGGUUCGAUUCCGGAGAGGGAGCCUGAGAAACGGCUACCACAUCCAAGGAAGGCAGCAGGCGCGCAAAUUACCCAAUCCCGACACGGGGAGGUAGUGACAAUAAAUACUGAUACAGGGCUCUUUUGGGUCUUGUAAUCGGAAUGAGUACAAUUUAAACCCCUUAACGAGGAACAAUUGGAGGGCAAGUCUGGUGCCAGCAGCCGCGGUAAUUCCAGCUCCAAUAGCGUAUAUUAAAGUUGUUGCAGUUAAAAAGCUCGUAGUUGAACCUUGGGCCUGGCUGGCCGGUCCGCCUCACCGCGUGUACUGGUCCGGCCGGGCCUUUCCUUCUGGAGAGCCGCAUGCCCUUCACUGGGUGUGUCGGGGAACCAGGACUUUUACUUUGAAAAAAUUAGAGUGUUCAAAGCAGGCCUUUGCUCGAAUACGUUAGCAUGGAAUAAUAGAAUAGGACGUGCGGUCCUAUUUUGUUGGUUUCUAGGACCGCCGUAAUGAUUAAUAGGGAUAGUCGGGGGCAUCAGUAUUCAAUUGUCAGAGGUGAAAUUCUUGGAUUUAUUGAAGACUAACUACUGCGAAAGCAUUUGCCAAGGAUGUUUUCAUUAAUCAGUGAACGAAAGUUAGGGGAUCGAAGACGAUCAGAUACCGUCGUAGUCUUAACCGUAAACUAUGCCGACUAGGGAUCGGGCGAUGUUUCUAUCUUGACUCGCUCGGCACCUUACGAGAAAUCAAA
rnacentral:rRNA from 1 species